rnacentral:rRNA from 1 species
UACGGAGGAUGCGAGCGUUAUCCGGAUUUAUUGGGUUUAAAGGGUGCGUAGGCGGGCUUUUAAGUCAGCGGUAAAAAUUCGGGGCUCAACCCCGUCCGGCCGUUGAAACUGGGGGCCUUGAGUGGGCGAGAAGAAGGCGGAAUGCGUGGUGUAGCGGUGAGAUGCAUAGAUAUCACGCAGAACCCCGAUUGCGAAGGCAGCCUUCCGGCGCCCUACUGACGCUGAGGCACGAAAGUGCGGGGAUCGAACAGG